rnacentral:rRNA from 1 species
UACGUAGGGUGCAAGCGUUGUCCGGAAUUAUUGGGCGUAAAGAGCUUGUAGGCGGUUUGUCGCGUCUGCUGUGAAAUUUCGGGGCUCAACCCCGAACUUGCAGUGGGUACGGGCAGACUAGAGUGUGGUAGGGGAGACUGGAAUUCCUGGUGUAGCGGUGAAAUGUGUAGAGAUCGGGAGGAACACCGGUGGCGAAGGCGGGUCUCUGGGCAGUUCCUGACGCUGAGGCACGAAGGCCAGGGGAGCAAACGGG